rnacentral:rRNA from 1 species
UCCUACGGGGGGCAGCAGUAGGGAAUUUUCGGCAAUGGGGGGAACCCUGACCGAGCAACGCCGCGUGAAGGAAGAAGGAAUUCGUUCUGUAAACUUCUGUUAUAAAGGAAGAAAGGCGGAUGAAGGAAAUGACAUCCGAGUGACGGUACUUUAUGAGAAAGCCACGGCUAACUACGUGCCAGCAGCCGCGGUAAUACGUAGGUGGCAAGCGUUAUCCGGAAUUAUUGGGCGUAAAGAUGGUGCAGGCGGCAGCAAAGGUCUGCGGUGAAAGACU